AAGUCGUAACAAGGUUUCCGUAGGUGAACCUGCGGAAGGAUCAUUAACGAGUUCUGAAACGGGUUGUAGCUGGCCUUUCGAGGCAUGUGCACGCCCUGCUCAUCCACUCUACACCUGUGCACUUACUGUAGGUCGGUUUGGGUUCUCGGGGUCUUCAUCGAUCUUGAGAGCUCUGGCCUUCCUAUGUAACCUACACACUCUUCAGUAUCAGAAUGUAUUCGCGAUAUAACGCAUAUAAUACAACUUUCAGCAACGGAUCUCUUGGUUCUC
rnacentral:misc_RNA from 1 species